rnacentral:piRNA from 1 species
UCGCAAUCCAACUGGUACACUGGCAUGAGGU